GGUACACGAGCGGCGAACGGGUGAGUAACACGUGGGUGAUCUGCCUUGCACUCUGGGAUAAGCCUGGGAAACUGGGUCUAAUACCGGAUAUGAGCCUGGACUGCAUGGUCUGGGUUGGAAAGGUUUACUGGUGCGAGAUGGGCCCGCGGCCUAUCAGCUUGUUGGUGGGGUAACGGCCUACCAAGGCGACGACGGGUAGCCGACCUGAGAGGGUGACCGGCCACACUGGGACUGAGACACGGCCCAGACUCCUACGGGAGGCAGCAGUGGGGAAUAUUGCACAAUGGGCGAAAGCCUGAUGCAGCGACGCCGCGUGAGGGAUGACGGCCUUCGGGUUGUAAACCUCUUUUGACAGGGACGAAGCGCAAGUGACGGUACCUGUAGAAGAAGCACCGGCCAACUACGUGCCAGCAGCCGCGGUAAUACGUAGGGUGCGAGCGUUGUCCGGAAUUACUGGGCGUAAAGAGCUUGUAGGCGGUCUGUCACGUCGAUUGUGAAAACUUGCAGCUCAACUGCAAGCUUGCAGUCGAUACGGGCAGACUAGAGUACUUCAGGGGAGACUGGAAUUCCUGGUGUAGCGGUGAAAUGCGCAGAUAUCAGGAGGAACACCGGUGGCGAAGGCGGGUCUCUGGGAAGUAACUGACGCUGAGAAGCGAAAGCGUGGGUAGCGAACAGGAUUAGAUACCCUGGUAGUCCACGCCGUAAACGGUGGGUACUAGGUGUGGGUUUCCUU
rnacentral:rRNA from 1 species